UACAGAGGUCUCAAGCGUUGUUCGGAUUCAUUGGGCGUAAAGGGUGCGUAGGCGGCGCUGUAAGUCGGGUGUGAAAUUUCGGAGCUUAACUCCGAAACUGCAUUCGAUACUGCGGUGCUUGAGGACUGGAGAGGAGACUGGAAUUUAUGGUGUAGCAGUGAAAUGCGUAGAGAUCAUAAGGAAGACCAGUGGCGAAGGCGGGUCUCUGGACAGUUCCUGACACUGAGGCACGAAGGCCAGGGGAGCAAACAGG
rnacentral:rRNA from 1 species